CGAAGGGGUGACCUGGAGCGAAUCUCAGAAAUAACGUCUCAGUUCGGAUUGUAGUCUGCAACUCGACUACAUGAAGCUGGAAUCGCUAGUAAUCGCGGAUCAGAAUGCCGCGGUGAAUACGUUCCCGGGUCUUGUACACACCGCCCGUCACACCAUGGGAGUCGGGAAUGCCCGAAGCCAGUGACCCAAGCGAGAGCAGGGAGCUGUCGAAGGCAGGCCGGAUAACUGGGGUGAAGUCGUAACAAGGUAGC
rnacentral:rRNA from 1 species